GACGAACGCUGGCGGCGUGCUUAACACAUGCCAGUCGAACGGAAAGGCCCUGCUUUUGUGGGGUGCUCGAGUGGCGAACGGGUGAGUAACACGUGAGUAACCUGCCCUUGACUUUGGGAUAACUUCAGGAAACUGGGGCUAAUACCGGAUAGGAGCUCCUGCUGCAUGGUGGGGGUUGGAAAGUUUCGGCGGUUGGGGAUGGACUCGCGGCUUAUCAGCUUGUUGGUGGGGUAGUGGCUUACCAAGGCUUUGACGGGUAGCCGGCCUGAGAGGGUGACCGGCCACAUUGGGACUGAGAUACGGCCCAGACUCCUACGGGAGGCAGCAGUGGGGAAUAUUGCACAGUGGGCGGAAGCCUGAUGCAGCAACGCCGCGGGCGGGAUGACGGCCUUCGGGUUGUAAACCGCUUUCGCCUGUGACGAAGCGUGAGUGACGGUAAUGGGUAAAGAAGCACCGGCUAACUACGUG
rnacentral:rRNA from 1 species